rnacentral:lncRNA from 1 species
UUUUGUUUUUUUCCUGCUGCCGCUUAUACUGCCUCUCUCCGAUAGGAAGAACACUACCUCUGGGUAGCCAGGAGCUGAGAUGCAGUCUGAAUGUUCACGGUGGCUUCUGACAUGGCAGCGUGAAUUCUCAGCUGGGCAGAGCCUAAGAGAUAUCAUUGUGGAUGUGGCUUUUAAUGAUUUGCGGGAGAAAAAGAAAAAGAAAAAUGACAGCCUGUGGAGACGCCGAUUGGAGAAAGCAGCACACUGUGGUUAUUGCCAAUUUGAAAUACUGGGUUUGUGAAGCCAAGCCCUAAGGGAGUAGCCGGGUAACUGAGAAAGAGAUCGUAGAUAAAGAAAUAAAAAUGACAAGCGUAAUGGAGGCUGUGCGAAGGGACUGUCAGCGCAUCCGUUCAUGGAUGGCAAUCUUGCCAGGCAGAGAUUGAAUAAUUCAUAGAUGGAAACUACCCUGCCUUCACCUUCCCAUUUAAACCGGGCAUGAGCUGAAUCUCUAAUAAAUUUUUAGAAGAUAAAGUAAAA